GGACAACCUGGGCGUCACUGUGUGUGUGUGUGUGUGUCAGCAGGGGUGCAGCUAGAGAUUACAAAGCCCACCUCAACACACGGUGCAGGAGGAGCGUCAUAACGAGGUUCUACAUGGUUCUGAAGGCCCCUGGAAGACUAAUGAACUGGGCGAAGCUUUCCUUCACGGCGUCCACGUCGUCCGUGCUGCUGCCCUCCAGGAUCCAACGCUUGCCCCGGGCCAGCGGCUCCAGCUCAAAGUACUUCUUGACCUGUACACACAAACAGACAAGCUCUAAAGAGUUUUGCGGGGGGUGCUAGAGCCUAUCGUAGCCAUCUUCGGGCAGUAGGCGGGGGACACCCUGGACCGGUUGCCAGCCAAUCGCAGGGCACACAGAGACGAACAACAACCCAACUCACACCUCUGGACAAUUGAGAGUGUUCAAUCAGCCUGCCAUGCAUGUUUUGGGGAAUGUGGGAGGAAACCGGAGUACCCGGAGAAAACCCACGCAUGCCCGGGGAGAACAUGCAAACUCCACACAGGAAGGCCGGAGCCGGGAUCGAACCAACGACGUCUGCACUGUGAGGUUGACGCAC